GAUUUCUGGCCUUUGUGCGCGCGACCCGCCUCCGUUUCAUCGGCAGGUGUGUGUCGCUGUGCGCGGGUCAUCCUCGCGGUCGCCGGCGUCGUCCUUCAUUGGGCGGCGCGUCGGGUGCUCCGCGUCUUUUACUUUGAAAAAAUUAGAGUGUUCAAAGCAGGCUUGCACGCUGUGAAUACAUUAGCAUGGAAUAAUAAGCUAGGACUUCCGUCCGAUGUUUGUUGGUUUCCCGGUUGGAAGUAAUGAUUGAUAGGGAUAGUUGGGGGUGCUCGUAUUCAGUGGCCAGAGGUGAAAUUCUUGGAUUCACUGAAGACGAACUUAUGCGAAAGCAUU
rnacentral:rRNA from 2 species